AGAGUUUGAUCCUGGCUCAGAACGAACGCUGGCGGCAGGCCUAACACAUGCAAGUCGCACGCGAAAGGGGGCAACCCCGAGUAGAGUGGCGGACGGGUGCGUAAUACGCAGGAAUCUACCCACGAGUGGGGGACAACCCGGGGAAACCCGGGCUAAUACCGCAUGAGACCUACGGGUGAAAGCGGGGGAUCGCAAGACCUCGCGCUGGUGGAUGAGCCUGCGUCCGAUUAGCUAGUUGGUAGGGUAAAAGCCUACCAAGGCAACGAUCGGUAGCUGGUCUGAGAGGACGACCAGCCACACUGGGACUGAGACACGGCCCAGACUCCUACGGGAGGCAGCAGUGGGGAAUAUUGGACAAUGGGGGCAACCCUGAUCCAGCAAUGCCGCGUGUGUGAAGAAGGCCUUCGGGUUGUAAAGCACUUUCGAUGGGGACAAACGUGUCGGGCUUAAUACGUCCGGCCUUGAUGGUACCCAGAGAAGAAGCACCGGCUAACUCUGUGCCAGCAGCCGCGGUAAUACAGAGGGUGCAAGCGUUAAUCGGAAUUACUGGGCGUAAAGCGUGCGUAGGUGGUUGGAUAAGUCAGGUGUGAAAUCCCCGAGCUCAACUUGGGAAUUGCGCUUGAUACUGUCCGGCUAGAGUGUGGUAGAGGGUAGUGGAAUUCCGCAUGUAGCGGUGAAAUGCGUAGAUAUGCGGAGGAACAUCAGUGGCGAAGGCGGCUACCUGGACCAACACUGACACUGAGGCACGAAAGCGUGGGUAGCAAACAGGAUUAGAUACCCUGGUAGUCG
rnacentral:rRNA from 1 species